rnacentral:rRNA from 1 species
GAUGAACGCUGGCGGCGUGCCUAAUACAUGCAAGUCGAGCGAACAGAUAAGGAGCUUGCUCCUUUGACGUUAGCGGCGGACGGGUGAGUAACACGUGGGUAACCUACCUAUAAGACUGGAAUAACUCCGGGAAACCGGGGCUAAUGCCGGAUAACAUUUAGAACCGCAUGGUUCUAAAGUGAAAGAUGGUUUUGCUAUCACUUAUAGAUGGACCCGCGCCGUAUUAGCUAGUUGGUAAGGUAGCGGCUUACCGAGGCAACGAUACGUAGCCGACCUGAGAGGGUGAUCGGCCACACUGGAACUGAGACACGGUCCAGACUCCUACGGGAGGCAGCAGUAGGGAAUCUUCCGCAAUGGGCGAAAGCCUGACGGAGCAACGCCGCGUGAGUGAUGAAGGUCUUCGGAUCGUAAAACUCUGUUAUUAGGGAAGAACAAAUGUGUAAGUAACUGUGCACGUCUUGACGGUACCUAAUCAGAAAGCCACGGCUAACUACGUG